rnacentral:rRNA from 1 species
GAUGAACGCUGGCGGCGUGCCUAAUACAUGCAAGUCGAGCGAACAGAUGAGGAGCUUGCUCCUCUGACGUUAGCGGCGGACGGGUGAGUAGCACGUGGAUAACCUACCUAUAAGACUGGGAUAACUUCGGGAAACCGGAGCUAAUACCGGAUAAUAUAUUGAACCGCAUGGUUCAAUAGUGAAAGACGGUUUUGCUGUCACUUAUAGAUGGAUCCGCGCCGCAUUAGCUAGUUGGUAAGGUAACGGCUUACCAAGGCAACGAUGCGUAGCCGACCUGAGAGGGUGAUCGGCCACACUGGAACUGAGACACGGUCCAGACUCCUACGGGAGGCAGCAGUAGGGAAUCUUCCGCAAUGGGCGAAAGCCUGACGGAGCAACGCCGCGUGAGUGAUGAAGGUCUUCGGAUCGUAAAACUCUGUUAUUAGGGAAGAACAAAUGUGUAAGUAACUAUGCACGUCUUGAGGGUACCUAAUCAGAAAGCCACGGCUAACUACGUG